CCAGCACACACGCUGUAACCAAAACAGACGGGUCGCUGUACAGGCGAAUUUCACAUUCGUAAACGGCGUUGAUUGCUUCGGUGGCCUCUCUGACGCACAUGACGCAUCCAUCUGUCGCGCCUGGCGUGCCGUUAGCUUCUUGCUAGGCAUUGCAGGAAAAAUAAGACGCACUGUGGCUGUGUACAGAGGCUUCACCCAUAGAGAGACGAAAUCCAGAUUGGUCCUGGUAACACAACAUGGUAUUGGCUUGUCUGUUAUGCCCUGCCAUUUUUCAGGCUAACCACAAGAAGCCGGGUUACAUGUCAGUACGUCUUCAACGGAUUUUAAUAUAAAGACCGCUACAGAACCACCUUUUACAGAAUUACAAAUUUUUAAUGGCGAUAAGGAAACCGCCAUAGAUGUAAUGGAGCGCUUUGCGGAGCAUAUGUGGCACACAACAAAGCUUGAUGUGAAGAAUGCGCUGGGAGAAGAGUACGCAGAACAUGUAAAAAAACAAAUAAA